GUGGGGAAUCUUGCGCAAUGGGCGAAAGCCUGACGCAGCCAUGCCGCGUGAAUGAUGAAGGUCUUAGGAUUGUAAAAUUCUUUCACCGGGGACGAUAAUGACGGUACCCGGAGAAGAAGCUCCGGCUAACUUCGUGCCAGCAGCCGCGGUAAUACGAAGGGGGCUAGCGUUGCUCGGAAUUACUGGGCGUAAAGGGCGCGUAGGCGGACAGCUUAGUCAGAGGUGAAAGCCCAGGGCUCAACCUUGGAAUUGCCUUUGAUACUGGCUGUCUUGAGUUUGGGAGAGGUGGGUGGAACUCCGAGUGUAGAGGUGAAAUUCGUAGAUAGUCGGAAGAACACCAGUGGCGAAGGCGACUCACUGGCCCAAUACUGACGCUGAGGCGCGAAAGCGUGGGGAGCAAACAGGAUUAGAAACCCUGGUAGUCC
rnacentral:rRNA from 1 species